ACGCACCAGAGAAUGUAGGACCUAAUGAAUUCCCUUUGAGGGACAAGGACCCCUUGUAUUGGGGCAAGGUUUAAUGAAUUCCCUUUGAGGGACAAGGACCUCUUGUAUUGAGGCAAGGAUUAAUGAAUUUCCUUAGAGGGACAAGGAUCACUAGCUUGAGAUGGUUUCACUAUGGACACAAGGAAUUCCCUCUACAAGGGACAAAGGUUGUUAGGACUAAAUAUAACCGUGUGGCAUGAAGGUGCCAGCCAUAUCUCGAACUAUACCAUGAAUCUAUUGUUUACAGAAACCCAAAGAGAAACGAGGUGACUCUGACCACCCCGGUGGUCAGAGGUCUGACCUCAUGUGCCAAUGGCGUUGCAUACAGCAGCGUCAUUGGUAUUCUUAAACUUACAGGAUGCGAAGCAGAUCUCAUUGACAUGACUAGACAUCUCGAGUCAUUGGUAACGGAACAGACUGGAGAAGAUACCGGAUCAUGAACUUAGGUGAGUGUGAACACUCGAUUUCUGAAAUUUAUUAUCCAGACAAUAUCCUUUUGUCGCGGUAGAAGUCUGGAAAGCAUCAUGAGAACAAUAAUGUAGAUAAAACGUCGCGACAAAAUAUGGUGGAGGUGCUGGGAUACGGUAUCUUCAAAAGUCUGUUCAGUUCCUCAUCUAAAAAAAAAAAAAACAAGAAUGACUAUUGACUUUAUUGACUUAUCAUGACAUAUAUGAACAAAACAUAAUGAAUAA